CAUUUUGAUGUCUAGAAUCAGGGGAUCCAGGAUCAUCACCAAGGUCAUUUUCCCAGAAGCUACCAACCUUUUCCAAGAAAGAGGGCCUGGCCCCCUUCUCGGGUCUGGCUGGGUGCCUGCUGUGCCUCUCUGGCCUCCCCUCCGAAGGGCACCAUUCCCUCGGACAGAUGUGCUGAGGCUGUAGAAAGUGCUUUUUAUUUGGUUGGGAGCUUGUGCAUAAAUGCGAGAGGGGCUGCACAUCUGACGGACUAGAGGUGACUCAUGGCUGAACCGGAACAGGACAUCGGGGAGAAGCCAGCAGCCAUGCUGAACUCUCCACAGGGCCCUGUGAAAAGCUCUUCACCUCCUCUGCCCUCUGGAUCUAGUGAAGCCUAUUCAUCCUUCAGAUGUCAGCUCAAAUAAUCAACCUUCAUGGAGGCCUCCCUUGACCCCUAACAUGCUUUCAAAGUACUGUGUAUUUCACAUUCAUCAUGCCCCGACAACUGUGAUUUCCCAUUUAUUAAUAUCUGUCUCUUCUGCUGGCCUGCAAACUCCAGGAGCACAGAGACAUCUUUGGGAU
rnacentral:lncRNA from 1 species